AUGCGUGACAUUAGCUAGUCGGCGGGGUAACGGCCCACCGAGGCGACGAUGUCUAGGGGUUCUGAGAGGAAGGUCCCCCACACUGGUACUGAGACACGGACCAGACUCCUACGGGAGGCAGCAGUGAGGAAUAUUGGUCAAUGGGCUUACGCCUGAACCAGCCAAGUCGCGUGAGGGAAGACUGCCCUAUGGGUUGUAAACCUCUUUUGUCAGGGAGCAACGCCGGCUACGUGUAGCCGGACUGAGAGUACCUGAAGAAAAAGCAUCGGCUAACUCCGUGCCAGCAGCCGCGGUAAUACGGAGGAUGCGAGCGUUAUCCGGAUUUAUUGGGUUUAAAGGGUGCGUAGGCGGAAUGCCAAGUCAGCGGUAAAAUCGCGGGGCUCAACCUCGCUCCGCCGUUGAAACUGGCGUUCUUGAGUGGGCGAGAAGUAUGCGGAAUGCGUGGUGUAGCGGUGAAAUGCAUAGAUAUCACGCAGAACUCCGAUUGCGAAGGCAGCAUACCGGCGCCCAACUGACGCUGAAGCACGAAAGCGUGGGUAUCGAACAGGAUUAGAUACCCUGGUAGUCCACGCAGUAAACGAUGAAUACUAGCUGUUCGGGGCAAAUGAGCCUUGAGUGGC
rnacentral:rRNA from 1 species